GCAGCAGGUGGCAUAGUGGUUACAGCUUUUUCUUUGUGAUCAAAGGACCCGGGUUUGAAACCCCGCUUCUGCUGCA
rnacentral:tRNA from 1 species